rnacentral:rRNA from 1 species
GACGAACGCUGGCGGCGUGCUUAACACAUGCAAGUCGAACGGAAAGGCCCUGCUUGCAGGGUACUCGAGUGGCGAACGGGUGAGUAACACUUGGGUGAUCUGCCCUGCACUUCGGGAUAAGCCUGGGAAACUGGGUCUAAUACCGGAUAGGAGCCAUUUUUAGUGUGAUGGUUGGAAAGUUUUUUCGGUGUAGGAUGAGCUCGCGGCCUAUCAGCUUGUUGGUGGGGUAAUGGCCUACCAAGGCGGCGACGGGUAGCCGGCCUGAGAGGGUGGACGGCCACAAUGGGACUGAGAGACGGCCCAGACUCCUACGGGAGGCAGCAGGGGGGAAUAUUGCACAAUGGGCGGAAGCCUGAUGCAGCGACGCCGCGUGGGGGAUGACGGCCUUCGGGUUUUAAACUCCUUUCGCUAGGGACGAAGCUUUUGUGACGGUACCUAGAUAAGAAGCACCGGCUAACUACGUG